rnacentral:rRNA from 1 species
UACGGAGGAGGCAAGCGUUAUCCGGAAUUAUUGGGCGUAAAGCGCGCGCAGGCGGUUUCUUAAGUCUGAUGUGAAAGCCCACGGCUCAACCGUGGAGGGUCAUUGGAAACUGGGGAACUUGAGUGCAGAAGAGAAAAGCGGAAUUCCACGUGUAGCGGUGAAAUGCGUAGAGAUGUGGAGGAACACCAGUGGCGAAGGCGGCUUUUUGGUCUGUAACUGACGCUGAGGCGCGAAAGCGUGGGGAGCAAACAGG